AUGGAGCAAAUUUCAGAAGGUUUAGAGGUGGAUGUUUCCGAUCAGAGAAAAGGAAACUCUGGAAGAAAGCCAAAGGACAUCAAUUUAGAGCAAAUACCUACCAUCCCACUAAAUAAGAGGUCCACUAUCAGAUCUCUAGCUUGGCAACUCGGAUGUAGCCCUACCACACUGCAUAGAAAGUUCAAGCUGAGUUUGAUAAAGAGACACACAAACUGUGUGAAGCCAGCUCUAAAAGAGAAGAAUAAAAAGGAUAGGAUGGAAUUUUGUAUGUCAAUGCUUGAUGAGACAACGAUCGAAACUUCAAGGCCUAAAUUCAAGACAAUGCAUAAUGUUGUGCACAUUGAUGAAAAAUGGUUCAAUAUGACAAAGAAAAAUAAGACCUACUAUCUGCUGGAUGGGGAGGAGCCUACGAGGCCUAUACAUGGCAACUGUAUUGGCAAGGUGAUGUUUUAA
rnacentral:rRNA from 1 species